AAAAAUGUAUACCUUUUAACCACAAAUGCUCAUCUUUCACUGCUCUGUGAUGUGCCACGCAUUGCAUAAUCACAUUGUAAUGCGUAAUGUAGGCGGAAGUACCAAGCAAGUGUUUACAAAGCGAACGUGCAAAGACUAAGCCAAUCGCCCUUUACAAAAAAAGGUAAAACAACUAUGUCGGACGAUUUUGAAGUUAGAGGAGAAAAUGAGAUGUUUUUUGCCCUACCGUGGUACUUUCGCCAAUGUCAGUCGUGACCUUUCCUACGUGAUUACGUAAUGCGUGGCGCAUCGGAGAGCAAGACGAGCAUUUGUAGUUAAAAAGUACAUAAUUUUUUUUUUUUUUUAGAAAAUGGACGAUCGUUUCACUAGAUAAGACCCUUAUUCCUUAUCUGGGAUCGUGUAGAGCUCUUUGAAGCUGCAUUAAAACUGCAAUUUGGACCUUCAACCCGAUGAACCCCACUGAAGUCCACUAUAUGGAGAAAAAUCCUGGAAUGUUUUCCUCAAAAACCUUAAUUUCUUUUUGACUGAAGAAAGAAAGACAUAAACAUCUUGGAUGACAUGGGGGUGAAUAUUAUCAGGAAAUUUUCAUUCAGAAGUGAGCUAAUCCUUUAAUGAAGAAGUAAAAUGGAUUGUGAAGUCUGUUGGCUUUAAUAUAAGUGCAUUUAGCUCUCAAAUAUUCUGUUUAAAUCAAUCUGAAACAAAACCAAACAAUUAGCACUGGUCAUAUGCCAACACAGAUCUGAUCUCCAAGAUUGGAAAAACAAAGAUUAGCUUUGACUCAAUCAUUAACAGAGAUCUCAUAUAUGUGAUGCCCAAAGGCAUGGAAGAACUGGUCCAAGGUAAAUAUUACCACAUAGAUCUGGUAUGAGCAGAGCAGAGGGGACAAGGAAGAGGAAGAAAUGGGAACAUUUUAUACUGAAACAAAAAUGUUGGUGUCCUAAAUUUUAAUUAGAGAUAGCCAAGGUCAGGGGAUGUUUGAGAAUAUCAACAAGUUGACACUUGAGGCGUUAAUUAACUAUCACACACAGACAUAUACACACACACACACACACACACACGUUUGUUUUUGUGAAUUGUGGGGACAUUCCAUAGGCGUAAUGGUUUUUAUACUGUACAAACCGUAUUUUCUAUCGCCCUACACCUAAACCUACCCAUCACAGGAAACUGUGCACAUUUUUACUUUCUCAAAAAAACUCAUUCUGUAUGAUUUAUAAGCCUUUUGAAAAAUGGGGACAUGGGGUAAUGUCCUCAUAAGUCACCCUCUCCUUGUGAUACCUGUCAUACCCAUGUCAUUUAUACAAAUUUGUUUCCUGAUAUGUCACAAAAACAUGCACACACACUCACACACACACACACACACAUUAAAACCAGUUCAUCAAAUGCUUUUAAGUCACGUAAGCAUUUAGCAAUCUUAAUAAUUGAUAUACUCAAGAAAUUACAAAGACUUUAGUAUAUUGUCUUAGAGCAAUAUCCCCCUAUAAUCAACACCUGUCCUCAGACUUUAGCUAAUCAAACUCUGGGACUAAAAGAUAUAAACUUAAAUGGGACAAUUAAAAAUGCUUACGGUGGUUUUAAUAUCUAUCACCAACCCUGAUCAGUUACACCAAGGCCAACAACAUCUGAUUUAAGACCAGACACUGAUAGUUUAUUUUCAAUCAAUUUCAAGCUAAUAGGGCCGAUGAAACAGGGAGAUUUAGAGUUUUAUCGACAGGGGCUCUAUUUUGCUUUAUUUAAACCCAUUACUCAUCCAAUGAGUAAUGACCCAAACAGGCCGAAUGCAGCCUCCUCACCUUUAACUGAUGAACACUGUGGUGGAAGUGCUUCAUCAAAGCUUGUAUCUCUUAUCCUGCUGUGGACUCGGUCUCUCUCUCUCUCUCUCUCUCUCUCUCUCUUUUUCUUAAUACUGGAAGGGCCUGCUGCAUAAAAGCAUCCUGACCAUGUCUUUAAAAAAAAGUUUCUAGCAUGUUAUAUGUUUGGGAACAGUUCUUUUAACCCUAAUUGAUGGAAUGUGUAGCUUUUCAUUUAUUAAACAACUGUAGGAAGACAUAUCAUGGCCAUAUUCUAGGAUGACAAAGCCAAGAUUCAUCAGGCUCAAAUUGUGAAAGAAUGGUUAGGAGGGAGAAUGAAGAAUCAUUUUCACACAUGAAUUGGCACCUCUGAGUUCAGACCUUAAAUUCAUUGAAAAUCUUUGGGAUGUGCUAGAGAAGACUUUAGAGAGUGCUCACUUCUUGCAUUGUCAGUACAAGAUCUUGACCAAAAUUGAUGCACCUCUUGAUGGAAAUAACAUCAAAACAUUUAUUUCCAUCACGAGCUGCGUACAUUUUUGGUCAAUAUCUUGUAUUGACAAUGCAAGAGUUGAGCAGGUUACAAUUGUAAUCAUGAUUCCCAGAGAAGGGGAAUUGGACACUGCCUCUCGUUGCCAUGCCAUUGGGUCUGCCUGCAUGUCUCAAAGAGGUUGAUGACGUGUACUACGGGCACUUUGCUUAUGAUGUCAUGGGCUGUCGCCAGCCAAUGAAAAUAGGAGUGUGUUCACACAUGCUUCAGACACCGGAUAUGCUGAUGGUGUCCCCAUAUCGUCGAUCCAAGACGCAGUGUCUCCCCUUCUCAGGGAACCAUGGUUACAGUCAUAACCUGAGAUUUUUAUUAACCGCUACAGGGCUAAAUGUUAAAUAGCGGACCUUUACAUUUUAUUUUAAGUUUUAAUAAUUGUAUGUGUUUUUGUCAUUUUUAUAUAUAUAUAUAUAUAUAUAUAUGUUUUUCACUGCGCUGUUUUUCACUGCGCUUUCCUCAUCGUUACAUAUUACAAGUGACUGUCAAUGAGUGAGUCAUUGAAACAUUCACUCAACCAAUUCAUUCAAAAUGCUGAAUUAUUUAGGAAUGAAAACAAGUGGCUGGGGCCUCUAUGACCGAGUCACUGAUUCAUUCACUGAAUGAACCAAUUCAUUAAGGUACUUAGACACACACACAAUGGUAAGCUCUAUUGUAACUUUGUUUAGACCUAUUUUCAUUGAGGAAAAUGAAACAUUGGAGCAAAAAUGGAGAAAAGUAACUGGCAAUAUCGUGUCUAACAUGCAAGUUACUCAAUAACUUUUUGUUUACUGAGAUGUUGUAUGAAAGCAGUACUUAUAUUUGUGCUGUUGGUCUGAAUUUACCUCAGUUUUUUGUUUCGUUACGAAAUUGAUAUUACUUUAUCAGUUUUGUGUAAAUAUAUUUUUGAAACAUCAUCAUCAGGUAUGCGUCGUAGAGACUGGUUGCCAUGGCCCGGCGAGGCUCAGAGACGAGAAGAGAAGAGGACUGAGGCCAAACUGGCUGAGGGUCUGCAGAGACUCGACCAGGCUAAACAUUACCACAUCAAUACACUGACCAGAGAACAGCGCAGACUACACAGAGACCUCAUCUCCAUCAAAACAGGUAAUCCCUGGAAAAGAGGCCUCCACAGUUUAGGGCUACGACCCUCCAACCAUGAUGUUGGGCGCCCUGCUGCAUCCUACAAGAGGACCCUAUUACCCAGCAUCCCACUGGCAGGCAAAGAAGCAGACAGGUCCUCUUCUCUGCAGGCUCGUGUUCAGGAGUUUAUCAGCAGUGGGGAGAAAAGUACAGAACACUCCUCUGAGACUCUCUGCCUACCGGACCUAAAACAGCAGCCCGUCACAUCUCUAACUGCUACAUGUACAAAUACAGAAAGAGAGGAGAGCAAGGAGAGACAGAUGGAUAGAGAACAGGACAGAGAGAGGGAGGCACACAUGGAGGUUGUGAGGGACAGAGAAAAAGACAGCCAGAAAGAGAGAGAAUGGAGGCUGUUAAGGGAACGAGAGAAAGAUAAUGAAAGGGGAGCUGAGAUAAAUGGGAAUAGAUGUCCAUCCUCUCCUGUUUUAUUCCCUUCUGAGAUGUUAGCUCCUGAUGGACAUUUAAGAACAGUUCACACAUUACCAAACUUUGCACAGGCCCUGGCCGAAGCAAGAAAAGCAAGAUACAUCAGACACAGAGGACAACCGCUGUGUGAGCGAGAACUCACCAUACGAGAGAUAUUUUCCCAGGAUUCAAGAGAGACUCCUGCUCUCUGAGACACUAAAACAGUGGUUCUCAACUGGUUUUGCUUGAAGAUCAGAUUUUCUAUUGGACAGCAAGAUGCGAAAAAACAGUGCCAAAGUUUGCUAACAAACAGUGCUAACUUUCCGGAAAAGUUCGUUCUGGCUGGUAAACACCUUUGAACUACCAUUGGUCUGUGUCGUUUACGUAGGUGUGGCUCUGAUGCUCCGCCUUCUUUGACAUGAAAAUUAUCUCAAUUCUUUUAUUCUGUUCAGUCUGUUCAGCAAUAUGCUUUAUAAUAGACGUUGACAUUGUGGCUGUCAAGUGGUACAAGUCGGAGCUCCAUGAAAAUUCUGAGUUUACAAGUUGUAAUUAUGAGUUCUGUGAAGACGUGAAUGUUUUUUAAAAGUCAGAAUUUCAUAAUCACAGUAAUUCCGACAUACGCACCUUUUAUUAUCCCAUUUACUGUCGUUUUUCCUGCUGUCCAUGAUGCUAUCAGAAAAGGCCCAUUUUUGAGUCACAACCCACCAGUUGAGAACCGCUGAGUUAAAACACAAACAGAAACACAUACUCACAUAUGGUAGCCAUUCCUCUAUUGAAAACUAAAGCACAUAUGCAGUACACACACUUCAUUUAGAAGUUUUGCAUGAUGAAAUAGUUAAUUGCAUUAUAUAUCACACAAGCACCUUUAAUAUUUAUGUUUAAACUUAAAUCUACAUUAACCACACCAGUUUAAACUGGCAUGUUCUUAUCAGCUGAAAUUGUCAAUAAAAAUACAAUCAACAAAGCUGUUUUCUUCCUCAUUUUAUCAGGACAUAUUCUAUGCAUAGGCUACUUUGCCUCUGUGUACUUCAUUUCCUCAGUAGACCUCUGCUGUAGUUAUGAAACUGGCCAUCAUAUCACAUUAUCGCCCUCUGAUGGUCACCUCUUGUGGACUAAUCUCAUAUUACGCUACAAGCAAGGUACGCGUCGCGUCUAUCGCGUAAACAAAGUAUUUGAUUGGUCACCUGGGUGUCUACGUCAGAGUUACUCGCUUGUAGUGUUGUCAAGUUGUGUUACUAGGAGACUUUAAAAUGUGUAAAUAAACUCGAACAUUAAAUGUACAUCCACAUAUUAAACACAUUAGGCUGUGUUCCUGCAAAGUGAGUCUCUUUAGGUCAAGGCUGACAGUUUGUUUGAGGAAGUGAAUUGAGGUGGGAAAAUACACGAGCAAUGGUGAUAUGGCGUUUCGCAAAGCAUGAAUCUCCCACACGGCUUAUUAUUAACAGCAACAGCUCCGGUUUAAUUCCGGGUUAUACAGUUUCAAUUCUGGUUUGGGACCAGCAAGAUCACUGUUACAAUACGAUCUGCGAAAAGACCUAAUAUAGUUAUCAUGAAUGUAGCGCGCAGUUUUGUCAUGAGGACUGGGAUGUUUCUCAUUCAGCCCAGCGUGCAGGUGAUGGCAGCGCGGUGUGUGUUUGCAGGGCCGAUUAUGCGAGUUUUCCCCCGGGUUAGUUUUACUCAGUCCCGCUCGUGGUGCUCUGAUGGGCCAGUUGCUGAUCGGGAUGAAGUCAGGCUGCAUCGGCUUGAUGGUGAAGACAACGGUAUAGUGGAAGUGCUGAUGUGUCGUGAGAGGGCGCGGAACUCUCUGGGACGCGUGUUUGUGGGUCAG